UUGAAAAGCUGCAACCAUAAUAUUCACAUUCCUACAUUUUCGAAUCUAUCACGCUCCUAUCCUCAGUGCAUCUCAACUCCACUAUUGAAACUCAAAUUCUUCCAUCAAAACCCCAUUUUGCAAGUCCAAUAUUUUCGAAGCCAAAAGUUGUCGAACAAAACCCCACUUUGCAACUAUCGUUUUGAACUCUCGAACUCCAUCUUUGUUACCAAUCUCCCAUUCUCGAACCCUCAAUCUGGAACCCCAUAGACGAGCCCCCAAUGUGUUGGCCUUCUGGAAGCCUUGCGACCCAUAGCGAACGAAGCCCCAUUAUUGAUCUUCCUCCAUUCCCUUUUUCGUUGAUGCCGCUGUCGAAUUCAAAAAUGAGGAGGUGAUUUGAGGAUUGCUAUGGCAGAAGAAGAAGAAUGGAUGUCAAGGAAGAUAAAUGUUUUUGAAUUUGGUCCAUUUAUUUAUUUUAGUUAAUUAAGUUGAUAUUUUGUUCUUCGUUGACAAUUGGUUUUUGAACUUUUUCAUUGGUCUUUUAGCUUGUUGUUCGCAACCAUUGAAAAAUAGACUACACUGUUCAAGUAAAUGGUUUAUUGAGACCCACACACCGCUCUCGAAUUGGAGUCACUCCAUUUAGAUGGUGUGUUCAGAUGGAGAAAUCGUUGGAUAUUAAUGGAGUGUUGUUAAAGUACACUUUUAGUCAGUGGGUGCCUGAACAUGAAAGUAUAUGUAUCAAGCAGCAUUUGGUAUGAUUAUCUAUUUUAGAUGUUUGUGUUUGUUUGGGAUUGAAUGGUGUUGGUGAUGAUGUUCGAUUUGAUAGUCUUGUGUGUGGUGUGAUCGGGUCAUUAUUUGAACAUCAACCAAUAACAAUAGAUGACAUUGUUGAUAGGAUAUAUUUUUAUUUACAGAGUGACGAUGAGGAUGACGAUGUAGACAAUAUGUGUCAUCUAUAUUUGUUGCUAUAUUUUGCUCUUUUAUAUUUUCCUAGGACGUCUAGGACCAUGACAAACAUGCCAUUUAGAUUAUUGGAUAACUUUGACAACUUGAAUCAAUACAACUGGGCAUGACCCAUGACUUAU